UACAGAGGUCUCAAGCGUUGUUCGGAUUCAUUGGGCGUAAAGGGUGCGUAGGCGGCGAGGCAAGUCAGGUGUGAAAUCUCGGGGCUCAACUCCGAAACUGCACUUGAUACUGCCUUGCUAGAGUACUGGAGAGGAGAUUGGAAUUUACGGUGUAGCAGUGAAAUGCGUAGAUAUCGUAAGGAAGACCAGUGGCGAAGGCGAAUCUCUGGACAGUUACUGACACUGAGGCACGAAGGCCAGGGGAGCAAACGGG
rnacentral:rRNA from 1 species